rnacentral:rRNA from 1 species
CCCCGUACCUGCGGUAGAAGGGGUGCGGUGCAUACGAUCAGCGGCAGUGAAUAGGCCCAAUCUACUGUUUAUCAAAAACACAGGUCUCUGCAAGAUCGUAAGAUGAAUUAUAGGUGCUGACGCCUGCGCGGUGCUGGAAGUUUAAGAGGAGUGCUUGACGCAAGCGAAGGAACGAAUUGAAGCACGAGUAAGCGGCAGCCGUAACUAUAACAGUCCUAAGGUAGCGAAAUACCUUGUCGGGUAAGUACCGACCCGCACGAAAGGCGUAACGCUGUGUGAACUGUCUCAACGGUAG